GGUACAGACUUUUGCCCUUUUCUUCAUCGUUUAUAGAACAAAUUGGAGCAAAGAGGCUUCUGUUGCAGAAGAUAGGAUAAGGAAAUGGAAAGGACAGGUAGUUUCCAUAGAGAACAAUACUGAAACAAUUUUCGCCUAGAAGUGUGAAGGGAAACGCAAGAAUUGAAGAAAAAGGAAGAGUUGUCAAUGACUUUUAAGUUUCAG
rnacentral:misc_RNA from 1 species